GGCGCCUUCGUCUAGUGGUUAGGACACUGGGUUCUCAGCCCAGUAACAGGGGUUCGACUCCCCUAGGCGUCA
rnacentral:tRNA from 1 species